AUACGUAGGUGGCAAGCGUUGUUCGGAAUUACUGGGCGUAAAGGGCGAGUAGGUGGCCAUCUAAGUCAGACGUGAAAUCCCCCGGCUUAACCUGGGAACUGCGUCUGAUACUGGACGGCUAGAGUUUGGGAGAGGGAUGCAGAAUUCCAGGCGUAGCGGUGAAAUGCGUAGAUAUCUGGAGGAAUACCGGUGGCGAAGGCGGCAUCCUGGACCAACACUGACACUGAAUCGCGAAAGCUAGGGGAGCAAACGGGAUUAGAUACCCCGGUAGUCCUAGCCCUAAACGAUGAAUGCUUGGUGUGGCGGGUAUCGAUCCCUGCCGUGCCGAAGCUAACGCAUUAAGCAUUCCGCCUGGGGAGUACGGUCGCAAGGCUGAAACUUAAAGGAAUUGACGGG
rnacentral:rRNA from 1 species